rnacentral:rRNA from 1 species
UCGGUAGCUUGCUACCGAGGAAAGUGGCGGACGGGUGAGUAAUGUGUAGAGAAUCUACCCUAGAGUGGGGGACAACAGCUGGAAACGGUUGCUAAUACCCCAUAUGAGCGUAUCUGAAAUGGUAUUCUUGAAAACUCCGGUGCUCUAGGAUGAGUCUGCAUCUGAUUAGCUAGUUGGGGGUGUAAUGGACCACCAAGGCGACGAUCAGUAGCUGGUUUGAGAGGAUGAUCAGCCACAAUGGGACUGAGACACGGCCCAUACUCC